GAAAAGCUUACAUAGUAAUGGCGGACGCUUGGACGAGUCAGUGAGAUUUGCGUUUUGUUUGUUUGUUUGGAGGAAUAAUUCCAAUAAAUGGCUGAUUCGCCUGGAGCAUGUGACAGGCAGUUGGAACAGUGCUCAUUUUCAAACAGAGAUUCCAUUGCUUCUGACACAACGGCCAGAACUUGGGAAUCUGUCUCAUUCUGCUGUUCAAGAAAGAGAAUGGAAAGACACAGUCAAAGAAAACCUGAAAACCUGUGGACCAGCCAUACAGCGCCAUCAUGAAAUCUCAUAUUUGUUGAAUCGCUGUAUUUCCACCGAAACAAAUUUCUUGUUUCUCCUGGAAAAUACCUUGUUUGAUAUGGCAA